GACGAACGCUGGCGGCGUGCUUAACACAUGCAAGUCGAACGAAAAGAGGGAAAGAGCUUGCUCUUUCCGGAAUUGAGUGGCAAACGGGUGAGUAACACGUAAACAACCUGCCUUCAGGAUGGGGACAACAGACGGAAACGACUGCUAAUACCGAAUAAGUUCCAAGGGCCGCAUAGCACAUGGAAGAAAACUUGGCCUCUACCUGUAAUCUAUCGCCUGAAGAGGGGUUUGCGUCUGAUUAACUGGUUGGAGGGGUAACGGCCCACCAACGCGACGGUCAGUAGGCGGUCUGGAAGGAUGAACGGGCCAACCGGAACUGGAACCCGGGCCAGACCUCUACGGGGGGCAGCAGGGAGGAAUUUUCCGCAAUGGGCGAAAGCCUGACGGGGCAACCCCGCGUGGGGGAUGGCGGCCCUCGGGUUGUAAAACUUUGUGAACCGGGGCGAAAAGGCAGAGUGCGAAGCACUACACGCCUUGACGGUACCGGAAAAGCAAGCCACGGCUAACUACGUG
rnacentral:rRNA from 1 species